GAUGAACGCUGGCGGCGUGCCUAAUACAUGCAAGUCGAGCGAACAGACGAGGAGCUUGCUCCUCUGACGUUAGCGGCGGACGGGUGAGUAACACGUGGAUAACCUACCUAUAAGACUGGGAUAACUUCGGGAAACCGGGGCUAAUACCGGAUAACAUGUUGAACCGCAUGGUUCAACAGUGAAAGACGGUCUUGCUGUCGCUUAUAGAUGGAUCCGCGCCGCAUUAGCUAGUUGGUAAGGUAACGGCUUACCAAGGCAACGAUGCGUAGCCGACCUGAGAGGGUGAUCGGCCACACUGGAACUGAGACACGGUCCAGACUCCUACGGGAGGCAGCAGUAGGGAAUCUUCCGCAAUGGGCGAAAGCCUGACGGAGCAACGCCGCGUGAGUGAAGAAGGUCUUCGGAUCGUAAAACUCUGUUAUUAGGGAAGAACAAAUGUGUAAGUAACUAUGCACGUCUUGACGGUACCUAAUCAGAAAGCCACGGCUAACUACGUG
rnacentral:rRNA from 1 species